rnacentral:lncRNA from 1 species
AUUGUCAUCACCCUUGGUCAAAGAAUCUCCAAGCUGGGUAAGAUCCUGCCAGACAAAUCAUUUGAUUUUCCAGUAGCGUGGGGCUCUGUGCCGCCUGGAUGCAGAAUGUCGACCUUAAGGUGAUCGCUCAGAGCAUUUCUAUCACCAAAGCCGUCACCUCACGCAUUUGCUGGAGUGCAGUGGUGUGAUCUUGGCUCAUUGCAACCUU